rnacentral:rRNA from 1 species
GAGUUUGAUCGUGGCUCAGGAUGAACGCUGGCGGCGUGCUUAACACAUGCAAGUCGAGCGAAGCAGUUAAGUUGAUUUCUUCGGAUUGAUUCUUAACUGACUGAGCGGCGGACGGGUGAGUAACGCGUGGGUGACCUGCCCCAUACCGGGGGAUAACAGCUGGAAACGGCUGCUAAUACCGCAUAAGCGCACAGAGCUGCAUGGCUCGGUGUGAAAAACUCCGGUGGUACGGAGUGGCCGGCCGU